GGGUCAGUAGGUUGGUCGUGCCACCGGUACGUACUGGUCUCACUGAUUCCUCCUUCCUGAAGAACCGUAAUGCCAUUAAUUUGGUGUUGCGGGGAAACAGGACUGUUGCUUUGAAAAGAUUAGAGUGUUUAAAGCAAGCUAACGCUUGAAUACAUUAGCAUGGAAUAAUGAAAUAGGACGAUCGAUCCUAUUUUGUUGGUUUCUAGGAUUGACGUA
rnacentral:rRNA from 1 species